AGAGUUUGAUCCUGGCUCAGGAUGAACGCUGGCGGCGUGCUUAACACAUGCAAGUCGAGCGAAGCAUUUAAGUGGAUUCCUUCGGGAUGAAGGUUUUAUGACUUAGCGGCGGACGGGUGAGUAACGCGUGGGCAACCUGCCCCAUACCGGGGGAUAACAGCCGGAAACGGCUGCUAAUACCGCAUAAGCGCACGGUACCGCAUGGUACAGUGUGAAAAACUCCGGUGGUAUGGGAUGGGCCCGCGUUGGAUUAGCUAGUUGGCAGGGUAAAGGCCUACCAAGGCGACGAUCCAUAGCCGGCCUGAGAGGGUGGACGGCCACAUUGGGACUGAGACACGGCCCAAACUCCUACGGGAGGCAGCAGUGGGGAAUAUUGCACAAUGGGGGAAACCCUGAUGCAGCGACGCCGCGUGAGCGAAGAAGUAUUUCGGUAUGUAAAGCUCUAUCAGCAGGGAAGAAAAUGACGGUACCUGACUAAGAAGCCCCGGCUAACUACGUGCCAGCAGCCGCGGUAAUACGUAGGGGGCAAGCGUUAUCCGGAUUUACUGGGUGUAAAGGGAGCGUAGACGGCGUAUCAAGUCUGAUGUGAAAGGCAGGGGCUCAACUCCUGGACUGCAUUGGAAACUGGUAUGCUCGAGUGCCGGAGGGGUAAGCGGAAUUCCUAGUGUAGCGGUGAAAUGCGUAGAUAUUAGGAGGAACACCAGUGGCGAAGGCGGCUUACUGGACGAUGACUGACGUUGAGGCUCGAAAGCGUGGGGAGCAAACAGGAUUAGAUACCCUGGUAGUCCACGCCGUAAACGAUGACUGCUAGGUGUCGGGUAGCAAAGCUAUUCGGUGCCGCAGCUAACGCAAUAAGCAGUCCACCUGGGGAGUACGACCGCAAGGUUGAAACUCAAAGGAAUUGACGGGGGCCCGCACAAGCAGUGGAGUAUGUGGUUUAAUUCGAAGCAACGCGAAGAACCUUACCAGGUCUUGACAUCCGAUGCAUAGCACAGAGAUGUGUGAAAUCCUUCGGGACAUCGAGACAGGUGGUGCAUGGUUGUCGUCAGCUCGUGUCGUGAGAUGUUGGGUUAAGUCCCGCAACGAGCGCAACCCUUACUGUCAGUUACUACGCAAGAGGACUCUGGCAGGACUGCCGUUGACAAAACGGAGGAAGGUGGGGAUGACGUCAAAUCAUCAUGCCCUUUAUGACUUGGGCUACACACGUACUACAAUGGCGUUAAACAAAGAGAAGCAAGACCGCGAGGUGGAGCAAAACUCAGAAACAACGUCCCAGUUCGGACUGCAGGCUGCAACUCGCCUGCACGAAGUCGGAAUUGCUAGUAAUCGUGGAUCAGCAUGCCACGGUGAAUACGUUCCCGGGCCUUGCACACACCGCCCGUCA
rnacentral:rRNA from 1 species